rnacentral:rRNA from 1 species
UACGUAGGGUGCAAGCGUUAAUCGGAAUUACUGGGCGUAAAGCGUGCGCAGGCGGUUUUGUAAGUCUGUCGUGAAAGCCCCGGGCUCAACCUGGGAACUGCAAUGGAAACUGGCGGGCUUGAAUGCGGCAGAGGGGGGUGGAAUUCCGCGUGUAGCAGUGAAAUGCGUAGAGAUGCGGAGGAACACCGAUGGCGAAGGCAGCCCCCUGGCCCGACAUUGACGCUCAGGCACGAAAGCGUGGGGAGCAAACAGG